rnacentral:rRNA from 1 species
GAUGUCGACUUGGAGGUUGUGCCCUUGAGGCGUGGCUUCCGGAGCUAACGCGUUAAGUCGACCGCCUGGGGAGUACGGCCGCAAGGUUAAAACUCAAAUGAAUUGACGGGGGCCCGCACAAGCGGUGGAGCAUGUGGUUUAAUUCGAUGCAACGCGAAGAACCUUACCUGGUCUUGACAUCCACGGAAGUUUUCAGAGAUGAGAAUGUGCCUUCGGGAACCGUGAGACAGGUGCUGCAUGGCUGUCGUCAGCUCGUGUUGUGAAAUGUUGGGUUAAGUCCCGCAACGAGCGUAACCCUUAUCCUUUGUUGCCAGCGGUCCGGCCGGGAACUCAAAGGAGACUGCCAGUGAUAAACUGGAGGAAGGUGGGGAUGACGUCAAGUCAUCAUGGCCCUUACGACCAGGGCUACACACGUGCUACAAUGGCGCAUACAAAGAGAAGCGACCUCGCGAGAGCAAGCGGACCUCAUAAAGUGCGUCGUAGUCCGGAUUGGAGUCUGCAACUCGACUCCAUGAAGUCGGAAUCGCUAGUAAUCGUGGAUCAGAAUGCCACGGUGAAUACGUUCCCGGGCCUUGUACACACCGCCCGUCACACCAUGGGAGUGGGUUGCAAAAGAAGUAGGUAGCUUAACCUUCGGGAGGGCGCUUACCACUUUGUGAUUCAUGACUGGGGUGAAGUCGUAACAAGGUAACCGUAGGGGAACCUGCGGUUGGAUCACCUCCUUACCUUAAAGAAGC